GAGGGUAGAGCUCAGCGGUAGAGUGCAUGCUUAGCAUGCAUGAGGUCCUGGUUCAAUCCCCAGUACCUCA
rnacentral:tRNA from 1 species